rnacentral:rRNA from 1 species
GUGCAGCAGUCGCGAAAACUUCACAAUGUGCGAAAGCACGAUGAGGGAAUCCCAAGUGCUUGCACGUAAGUGUAAGCUGUUUCUCUGUCUAAAACGUAGAGAGAGUAAGGGCUGGGUAAGACGGGUGCCAGCCGCCGCGGUAAUACCUGCAGCUCGAGUGGUGACCCGUUAUUAUUGGGCCUAAAACGUCCGUAGCCGGUUUUAUAAAUGCCU